GGAGAUGUAGCUCAGUAGUAGAGCACUUGCCUAGGGUGCAGGAGGCCAUGGUUUUGAUCUCUAACACUGCCA
rnacentral:tRNA from 1 species